UUCCUGAGUAUCUACCCAGAGGAAAAGAAGUCAUUAUACAAGAAAACUACUUGCACACGCAUGUUUAUAGCAGCACAAUUCACAAUUGCAAAAAUAUGGAACCAGCCCAAAUGCCCA